rnacentral:rRNA from 1 species
AGUGAACGCUGGCGGUAGGCCUAACACAUGCAAGUCGAACGGCAGCACAGUAAGAGCUUGCUCUUACGGGUGGCGAGUGGCGGACGGGUGAGGAAUACAUCGUAAUCUACUUUUUCGUGGGGGAUAACGUAGGGAAACUUACUCUAAUACCGCAUACGACCUACGGGUGAAAGCAGUGGAUCUUCGGACCUUGCGCGAUUGAAUUAGCCGAUGUCGGAUUAGCUAGUUGGCGGGGUAAAGGCCCACCAAGGCGACGAUCCGUAGCUGGUCUGAGAGGAUGAUCAGCCACAUUGGAACUGAGACACGGUCCAGACUCCUACGGGAGGCAGCAGUGGGGAAUAUUGGACAAUGGGCGCAAGCCUGAUCCAGCCAUACCGCGUGGGUGAAGAAGGCCUUCGGGUUGUAAAGCCCUUUUGUUGGGAAAGAAAAGCAGCAGGUUAAUACCCCGCUGUUCUGACGGUACCCAAAGAAUAAGCACCGGCUAACUUCGUG